rnacentral:pre_miRNA from 1 species
GUAAGAAUCACCUAAGGAUCUUGGUAAAAUGCAGUUUCUAAUUUAAUGAGUCUGGGAUGAGACCUGAGAUUCUGCAGUUCUAAUAAGCUCCCAGGUGAUGCCAAU